UUAUCAUCAGCUUACCCCUAACUUACACAUGCAAGUAUCAGCACACCCGUGAGAACGCCCUUAAACCUUACUAGGACAAGGAGCCGGUAUCAGGCACAGAUUAUCUAGCCCAUGACACCUAGCUUUGCCACUCCCUCAAGGGUACUCAGCAGUGAUUAACAUUGUUCAUAAGCGCCAGCUUGACUCAGUUAAGGGGUAUAGAGCCGGCCAAUACGGUGCCAGCCGCCGCGGCUACACCGCUAGGCUCAAGUUGAUUUUAUGCGGCGUUAAGCGUGUUUAAAGUGCUAAAAAGAUUAGAAUUAAAAUAUAGCCAAGCUGUGACACGCUUGUUAGUAAGAAAAACAGAUACGAAAGUUAUUCUAACCAACCCACUUGAACCCACGACAGCUAAGACACAAACUGGGAUUAGGUACCCCACUAUGCCUAGCCGUAAAAUAUUUAUUUACACCUUUAACCGCCCGGGAAUUACGAGCCCAAGCUUAAAACCCAAAGGACUUGACGGUGUCCCACCCACCUAGAGGAGCCUGUUCUAUAAUCGAUUCUCCCCGAUAUACCUCACCGCUUCUAGCUUUUCAGCCUGUAUACCUCCGUCGUAAGCUUACCCUAUGAACGCUUUUUAGUGAGCUAAAAGAUCUUUACAUAAAUACGUCAGGUCAAGGUGCAGCCUACGAAGCGGCAAGAAAUGGGCUACAAUUUCUACAAUAGAACACAACGAAAGACUACAUGCAACUUAGUCAUGAAGGCGGAUUUAGUAGUAAAAAGAAAAUAGAGAGUUCUUUUUAACCAGGCGCUGGGACGCGUACACACCGCCCGUCACCCUCUUCAAACGCUUAAAACCAGUUUAUAACAAAUUUCUGCACCACAGAAGAGGUAAGUCGUAACAUGGUAAGCGUACUGGAAAGUGCGCUUGGAAUAACAAA
rnacentral:ncRNA from 1 species